AUGGUGUUGCUUGACAUCAGGGGUAUGUUGCAGUCCAUGGGUAAAGACAUAAGUGAUUUUUCGCUUCCAAGCAUCGAUGAUGCCUUUGACCCAACUGAGGAAGAGGCGAGAGAGGUCAUUGAGGAAUCAACCAUCGAGUUUGACGUAGAUGACACAAAAUUGGCAUCUUCACUAAACUUUGAGCAGAAGGUGGCAUACGACGAGAUACUAGCGGCUGUUACUCGGUCUUGGGGGGUAUUCUUUGUUGACGGCCCCGGAGGUACAGGGAAGACCUUCCUCUAUAGGGCGUUGCUCGCCAAGUUGAGGAGCGAGGGCAAGAUUGCUAUCGCCAUCGCGACCUCAGGUGUCGCUGCUUCUAUCAUGCCUGGCGGCAGGACUGCGGACUCUAGGUUCAAGAUACCAUUG
rnacentral:rRNA from 1 species